CCGCUCCGCCUCGUCCUUCCUGGAAGCCGCAGCCUCCAGCCUGUCGAGAAAGAAGAAGAAGAGGAAGAUAGAAUGAAGGACAGCGGAAGUCUGUGUUCUGGCAGCCAUGACAGACAAGAGAGAAAGACAGAACACUUAAGGAAGGGCACUGAGCUCACGGCAUUGGGCUGAGGUGCAAGAGGAGGAGGCCGCGCACAUUCGGAUCCAGUGCAAACAAUUGAUAACAAGACUGAAGGGUUCUCCUCGUAUUUGUAUUAUUGUAUUUGGAACAAAGCAGAAGUGUGGUCCUAAUUUUUCCCUCUACACAGACACUACUGGAUUCCCUUGUGUUGGAAAUUUGUCCAAAUGAGACAAAAAGAUAGAAGACUGUGACAGCGAGGAAAGAACCGGACGGGAGGACGUGUGUUAGUGUGGGUGGAGAGAAAAAACCUCCACAACGCAACAAUGUGUGACACUGUUUGUCACAGAAUGCAUGGAGA